rnacentral:rRNA from 1 species
GGACUACAAGGGUAUCUAAUCCUGUUUGCUCCCCACGCUUUCGCGUCUCAGCGUCAGUCACCGUCCAGAUGGCCGCCUUCGCCACCGGUGUUCUUCUCGAUAUCUACGAAUUUCACCUCUACACCGAGAGUUCCACCAUCCUCUCCGGGACUCGAGCUGCGCAGUAUCGAAUGCACUUCCUGGGUUGAGCCCAGGGCUUUCACACCCGACUUGCGUAGCCGCCUACACGCGCUUUACGCCCAGUAAUUCCGAACAACGUUUGCACCCUCUGUCUUACCGCGGCGGCUGGCAC